rnacentral:rRNA from 1 species
GUUAGCGGCGGGCCUAACACAUGCAAGUCGCACGAGAAAGGGGCUUCGGCCUCGAGUAAAGUGGCGGACGGGUGAGUAACACGUGGGUAAUCUACCUUUCAGUAGGGGAUAACUGUCCGAAAGGAUAGCUAAUACCGCAUACGUCGCCGAGGGUUUCGAUCCUUGGCGGGAAAGCCGGCCUCUCCAUGGAAGCUGGCGCUGAAAGAGGAGCCCGCGCCCCAUCAGCUAGUUGGUAGGGUAACGGCCUACCAAGGCAAAGACGGGUAGCUGGUCUGAGAGGAUGAUCAGCCACACUGGGACUGAGACACGGCCCAGACUCCUACGGGAGGCAGCAGUGGGGAAUAUUGGGCAAUGGGCGCAAGCCUGACCCAGCCACGCCGCGUGAGUGAUGAAGGCCUUCGGGUCGUAAAGCUCUGUGGGGAGGGACGAAAAAACAU